UGCAUCGGCCGGGAAACGAACCCCGGCCGCCAUUCUACCACUGAACCACCGAUGC
rnacentral:tRNA from 1 species